rnacentral:rRNA from 1 species
UGGGCUUGACAUCCCACAAACCUGCCGAAAGGCAGGAGUGCCCGCAAGGGAGCGCGGAGACAGGUGGUGCAUGGCUGUCGUCAGCUCGUGUCGUGAGAUGUUGGGUUAAGUCCCGCAACGAGCGCAACCCUCACCCCUUGUUGCUACCAGGUAAAGCUGGGCACUCUAGGGGAACUGCCCCGGUCAACGGGGAGGAAGGCGGGGAUGACGUCAAGUCAUCAUGCCCCUUACGUCCUGGGCUACACACGUGCUACAAUGGCCGGUACAAAGGGAUGCCACACCGCGAGGUAGAGCUAAACCCAAAAAGCCGGUCUAAGUUCAGAUUGGAGUCUGCAACUCGACUCCAUGAAGGAGGAAUCGCUAGUAAUCGCGUAUCAGCACGACGCGGUGAAUACGUUCCCGGGCCUUGUACACACCGCCCGUCACACCACGAAAGCCAGCUGUACUCGAAGUCGCUGAG